UGGGGUCCAUUCCACGGGUUCCGUGCCGUAGCUAACGCUUUAAGUACCCCGCCUGGGGAGUACGGCCGCAAGGCUAAAACUCAAAGGAAUUGACGGGGCCCCGCACAAGCGGCGGAGCAUGCGGAUUAAUUCGAUGCAACGCGUAGAACCUUACCUGGGUUUGACAUGGAUCGGGAGUGCUCAGAGAUGGGUGUGCCUCUUUUGGGGUCGGUUCACAGGUGGUGCAUGGCUGUCGUCAGCUCGUGUCGUGAGAUGUUGGGUUAAGUCCCGCAACGAGCGCAACCCUUGUUCACUGUUGCCAGCACGUUAUGGUGGGGACUCAGUGGAGACCGCCGGGGUCAACUCGGAGGAAGGUGGGGAUGACGUCAAGUCAUCAUGCCCCUUAUGUCCAGGGCUUCACGCAUGCUACAAUGGCUGGUACAGAGAGUGGCGAGCCUGUGAGGGUGAGCGAAUCUCGGAAAGCCGGUCUCAGUUCGGAUUGGGGUCUGCAACUCGACCUCAUGAAGUCGGAGUCGCUAGUAAUCGCAGAUCAGCAACGCUGCGGUGAAUACGUUCCCGGGGCUUGUACACACCGCCCGUCAAGUCAUGAAAGUUGGUAACACCCGAAGCCGGUGGCCUAACCGUUGUGGGGGAGCCGUCGAAGGUGGGACUGGUGAUUAGGACUAAGUCGUAACAAGGUAGCCG
rnacentral:rRNA from 1 species